CUCAUUGUAGAGCAUCACUAUGAUUGCUCAAGCCCUCAUCGUACUUGUUAUCUCAUCUCUCUGGCUCCAAGGUCAUUCCCAGGAUGUGACUCAACAACCUGAAAUCAGAUGGAGUUAUGUUAACAAAGCUGCAGAGAUGAACUGCAGCCACAACAAAGAUAAGGGCCACAGCCAGAUGUACUGGUAUAUUCAAAGACCAGGAGAGACCAUGAGGCUCAUCGUCUACACAGUGUUUGGUGGGAAGCCGGACUAUGGUGGAGCCCCUGAGAAUAAAUAUUCAGCCAGCAAAGCAGCCAUUGAGAACGGGGCUCUAACUGUGAAUGACUUGCAGCAGAAUGACACUGGUGUGUAUUUUUGUGCUGUGGUGCUGGAGCUCAAGAAAUACUGA